rnacentral:piRNA from 1 species
UGAGCUAUGAUUGUGCCGCUGCACUCCAGCC